rnacentral:rRNA from 1 species
CCUACGGGUGGCAGCAGUGAGGAAUAUUGGUCAAUGGGCGGCAGCCUGAACCAGCCAAGUCGCGUGAGUGAAUCAUGCCCUACGGGUCGUAAACCUCUUUUGCCGGGGAGCAAGGGCCGGGACGCGUCCCGGCCCGGAGAGUACCCGGAGAAAAAGCAUCGGCUAACUCCGUGCCAGCAGCCGCGGUAAUACGGAGGAUGCGAGGUUUAUCCGGAUUUAUUGGGUUUAAAGGGUGCGUAGGCGGGCUUUUCAGUCAGCGGUAAAAAUUCGGGUCUAAACCCCGUCCGGCCGUUGAAAAUGGGGGCCUUGAGUGGGCGAGAAGAAGGCGGAAUGCGUGGGGGAGCGGUGAAAUGCAUAGAUAUCACGCAGAACCCCGAUUGCGAAGGCAGCCUUCCGGCGCCCUACUGACGCUGAGGCACGAAAGUGCGGGGAUCGAACAGGAUUAGAUACCCUUGUAGUC